CCUACGGGAGACAGCAGUGAGGAAUAUUGGUCAAUGGGAGAGAUCCUGAACCAGCCAAGCCGCGUGAGGGAAGACGGCCCUAUGGGUUGUAAACCUCUUUUGUCGGAGAACAAAACCCGGGACGAGUCCCGGACUGCGUGUAUCCGAAGAAAAAGCAUAGGCUAACUCCGUGCCAGCAGCCGCGGUAAUACGGAGGAUGCGAGCGUUAUCCGGAUUUAUUGGGUUUAAAGGGUGCGUAGGCGGUCUGUUAAGUCAGCGGUAAACUUGCGGGGCUCAACCCCGUCGAGCCGUUGAAACUGGCAGACUUGAGUUGGCGAGAAGUACGCGGAAUGCGCGGUGUAGCGGUGAAAUGCAUAGAUAUCGCGCAGAACUCCGAUUGCGAAGGCAGCGUACCGGCGCCAGACUGACGCUGAGGCACGAAAGCGUGGGGAUCGAACAGGAUUAGAUACCCGAGUAGUC
rnacentral:rRNA from 1 species